AGCGGCGGACGGGUGAGUAAUGCUUAGGAAUCUGCCAUUUAGUGGGGGACAACAUUCCGAAAGGGAUGCUAAUACCACAUACGUCCUACGGGAGAAAGCAGGGGAUCUUCGGACCUUGCGCUAAAUGAUGAGCCUAAGUCGGAUUAGCUAGUUGGUGGGGUAAAGGCCUACCAAGGCGACGAUCUGUAGCGGGUCUGAGAGGAUGAUCCGCCACACUGGGACUGAGACACGGCCCAGACUCCUACGGGAGGCAGCAGUGGGGAAUAUUGGACAAUGGGCGGAAGCCUGAUCCAGCCAUGCCGCGUGUGUGAAGAAGGCCUUUUGGUUGUAAAGCACUUUAAGCGAGGAGGAGGCUACCUAGAUUAAUACUCUGGGAUAGUGGACGUUACUCGCAGAAUAAGCACCGGCUAACUCUGUGCCAGCAGCCGCGGUAAUACAGAGGGUGCGAGCGUUAAUCGGAUUUACUGGGCGUAAAGCGUGCGUAGGCGGCUGAUUAAGUCGGAUGUGAAAUCCCUGAGCUUAACUUAGGAAUUGCAUUCGAUACUGGUCAGCUAGAGUAUGGGAGAGGAUGGUAGAAUUCCAGGUGUAGCGGUGAAAUGCGUAGAGAUCUGGAGGAAUACCGAUGGCGAAGGCAGCCAUCUGGCCUAAUACUGACGCUGAGGUACGAAAGCAUGGGGAGCAAACAGGAUUAGAUACCCUGGUAGUCCAUGCCGUGAACGAUGUCUACUAGC
rnacentral:rRNA from 1 species